rnacentral:lncRNA from 1 species
GAUUCACGAAUCAGGCAGCCUCCCGAAUCCAAGUAGGCUCAGAGAAACAGCCACAUGAUGGAAGAUGAAUUGACAGAAAAAGGCAGGUGACCUACUGAAAACAUAAGUGAGGUACAGAAACCACUGGAUUGGUUACAGCUCAGCUUUUGCCUUAUUUGAACAUGGUUUGAACAGUUGGCCACCAUUAAUUAGUGAAAACUCAGUGUUCGGCGCAAGAGUAGGUUAGUCUGUGUACUCAUGCAGUUAAGGUUUCAGUUUACUAUGUACGAAGAAAUCUUUAGGCUGAGCUUAAAGUAUGCAAGGAGGCAGCUUUAGGCUAAACUUAGUUUAUCAGAAUCCACACUGAUUUUCAUGCGUGUCAGUGUGAAGAGACCACCAAACAGGCUUUGUGUGAGCAAUAAAGCUGUUUAUUUCACCUGGGUGCAGGUGGGCUGAGUCCGAAAAGAGAGUCAGCGAAGGGAGAUAAGGGUGGGGCCGUUUUAUAGGAUUUGGGAAGGUAAUGGAAAAUUACAGUCAAAGGGGGUUGUUCUCUGGUGGGCAGGGGCGGGGGGUCACAAGGUGCUCAGUGGGGGAGCUUCUGAGCCAGGAGAAGGAAAUUCACAGGGUUAAUCACUCAGUUAAGGUGGGGCAGGAACAAAUCACAAUGGUGGAAUGUCAUCAGUUAAGGCGGGGCAGGUCCUUUUCACUUUUGUGAUUCUUCAGUUACUUCAGGCCAUCUGGGUGUAUACGUGCAAGUCAC